GAUCCUGGCUCAGAAUCAACGCUGGCGGCGUGCCUAACACAUGCAAGUCGCACGAGAAAGUGGAGCAAUCCAUGAGUACAGUGGCGCACGGGUGAGUAACACGUGAAUCAUCUACCUCCGAGUGGGGAAUAACCUAGAGAAAUCUGGGCUAAUACCGCAUAACACUUACGAGUCAAAGCAGCAAUGCGCUUGGAGAGGAGUUCGCGGCCGAUUAGCUAGUUGGCGGGGUAAUGGCCCACCAAGGCGAUGAUCGGUAUCCGGCCUGAGAGGGCGCACGGACACACUGGAACUGAAACACGGUCCAGACUCCUACGGGAGGCAGCAGUGGGGAAUUUUGCGCAAUGGGGGAAACCCUGACGCAGCAACGCCGCGUGGAGGAUGAAAUCCCUUGGGAUGUAAACUCCUUUCGAUAGGGAAGAUAAUGACGGUACCUAUAGAAGAAGCCCCGGCUAACUUCGUGCCAGCAGCCGCGGUAAUACGAGGGGGGCAAGCGUUGUUCGGAAUUAUUGGGCGUAAAGGGUGCGUAGGCGGUCUGACAAGUCUGAUGUGAAAUCUAUGGGCUCAACCCAUAGUCUGCAUCGGAAACUGUCGGGCUUGAGUAUGGGAGAGGUGAGUGGAAUUUCCGGUGUAGCGGUGAAAUGCGUAGAUAUCGGAAGGAACACCUGUGGCGAAAGCGGCUCACUGGACCAU
rnacentral:rRNA from 1 species